AAGGGUUUGGCUGUUCGCCAAUUAAAGCGGUACGUGAGCUGGGUUUAAAACGUCGUGAGACAGUUUGGUCCUUAUCUGUUGUGGGCGUAGGAUAUUUGAGAGGAGCUGUUCCUAGUACGAGAGGACCGGAAUGGACGAACCGAUGGUGUUCCUGUUGUCACGCCAGUGGCAUAGCAGGGUAGCUAAGUUCGGCAGGGAUAACCGCUGAAAGCAUCUAAGCGGGAAGCCCACCUCAAGAUUAGAUAUCCCGUGGCUUAAGCCACCUGAAGGCUCGUCGAAGACUACGACGUCGAUAGGUCAGAUGUGGAAGUCCAGUAAUGGAUGGAGCUUACUGAUACUAAUCAGCCGUGCGGCUUGACCAU
rnacentral:ncRNA from 1 species